GCAGGCGCGAAACCUUUACACUGCACGACAGUGCGAUAGGGGGACUCCGAGUGCGAGGGCAUAUAGUCCUCACUUUUCUGGACCGUAAGGAGGUCCAGGAACAAGUGCUGGGCAAGACCGGUGCCAGCCGCCGCGGUAAUACCGGCAGCACGAGUGAUGGCCGCUCUUAUUGGGCCUAAAGCAUCCGUAGCCGGCCAGUCAAGUCCGUUGGGAAAUCGGCGCGCCUAACGCGUCGGCGUCCAGCGGAAACUGACUGGCUUGGGGCCGGAAGACCUGAGGGGUACGUCCGGGGUAGGAGUGAAAUCCCGUAAUCCUGGACGGACCACCGGUGGCGAAAGCGCCUCAGGAAGACGGACCCGACGGUGAGGGACGAAAGCUAGGGUCUCGAACCGGAUUAGAUACCCGGGUAGUCCUAGCUGUAAACGAUGCUCGCUAGGUGUGGCGCAGGCUACGAGCCUGCGCUGUGCCGUAGGGAAGCCGUGAAGCGAGCCGCCUGGGAAGUACGUCUGCAAGGAUGAAACUUAAAGGAAUUGGCGGGGGAGCACUACAACCGGAGGAGCCUGCGGUUUAAUUGGAGUCAACGCCGG
rnacentral:rRNA from 1 species